ensembl:lncRNA
UUUAAAAUAAAUACUUUGAUGACUUGCUGUUGGUUAAGUUAAACAUUUUGGUAUGAAGACUAUCACUGAGUUCUUACUAAACACUAAAAUACUCUUAUUUUUAAACAAAACAAGUAUACAUGUAUUACUAUAAAAUGCAUGUUUCCACAGACUAGAAUUUAAUGAAACUUUUGAAUAUCAUUCAUUUACUCUGGAAUUUGGAAUUCUCUUCAGCUUAAAUGAUUCAAUUGCAACUACUAAAAUCUCCAUAUGCAUAUUUUUCAUGUAAUUUAUUGUCUAAUUCUCAUUUUAAAACCUAUUUUAUUUCUUCAUAUUUCAUAUAUACAUUCAUUUGUGCCUGUCUGUUGAAAAGUAAUAUCUUUUUACAUUCUUAAAAAUUUCAGCUAGUUUAUAAUAAGUCUUUACAACAGUGAUUCUUUUCACAGUAGUUCAAGAGUUCAAGGCAUGUUUUGCAAUGUCAAAAUGCAAUGGUUUUGACAUUUGUAAUAAGUUCUUAGGUAUAAGAAAAGUCACACUACCAAAAGAAAAGUAUAAUUAGUAUUAGUACUUUGAAAGUCAAUCCAAAAUUCCUUUUUUUUUUGAGAUGUGAAUCUAAUUUUCUGUUUUUAGGACAUCUUAAAACGUGAAACACAGAUUAAGUUUGAAUAAUUUUCUCUAGUGUAGGAUCAGAAGAGUAUAAGAACUUAACACUAAUCACUGUGGAAAUGAACUAGAGUUUAAUAUUUUGUCUAAAAUAAUCUUACUUUAUAUAAAGAGAAAAAAUUAUUGGAUUUUUAAAAAUAUUCAGCUACUUAUAUUUAGCCUAUUGGAAGAAAUGGAGAUAUAGGUAAGUCACACUCUAAUCCUGCACUAGUUAGAAUUUAGGCAAGUAAUUGCCUUUUUAAAGGCAAAAUGAGUGAAUAGAUUUGGGCGUUGAAUAAAAACUCAGUGGAGAUAUAAAAAUUAGGAUCCCUGUGUCUUGCUGCCUAUUUUCUGGGUUGAAAAAUUAAGUCAAAAGGAUAAACAUGCAAUCUCUUUUGCUCUCUUGGGAAUGUAGCAUGAAAAUUUAAAGUAUUUUUUCCAAGUUCUCUGUUUAAUUUGCAGAUGUCAGAAACCAUUUUGAAAUUUAGGUCUCAUUUUCUGAAGAUGUAUAAGCAGGCCCAUUUCUGAAGAUACAUAAGCUAAUACGGUACAUUUCUGUAAAAUAUAAAAAUAUUUCUGAGUUGAAGAGCCAAUUGCAGGUUGGAGUUCAACCCCUGCUGCUGCUGCUGCUGCUAAGUCGCUUCAGUCGUGUCCGACUCUGUGCGACCCCAUAGACGGCAGCCCACGAGGCUCCCCCAUCUCUGGGAUUCUCCAGGCAAGAAACACUAGAGUGGGUUGCCAUUUCCUUCUCCCUGCAGACACUCAGUGUGGGGCUAAUUUCCUUAAUGCAGUCAGAUUCUUAAUGGCCAGGCUAAUACUCAGGUUCCUCUACUCCCGCGUAAAAAUCUAUCAGUUAAAACAGUUAGAUAUGGAGAGAAAAACUUCUUCUAAAAUAACAUUGACAAAUGAUAAGAAAAUAUAAUCAUAUUUGAAAAUAUUAAAAUCUAGGAUGAGAUAGAGCUCAUACUCUCCCAACUAUUGUAUUAAUCUAUGACUGAAUUAAAAAGUAUCUUGGAAGUUAUAUUAAUAGAGGGAUUUUUCAAUGGGGAUUACUAACUAAUUUCAAAAUAAUAUUAUAUCCCAAACCAUAUGGCAUAAUGGCUUAAUUUUAAAAGAUGGUCAAAGCAAAACAAAGCAAUAGUAUGAAGUAUAGCAGAAAGUAAUUAAGCAAUCACAUUAUGGGACAUAUAUUUCUCAUUCUCUGUCCACACCACUAUCUCUUAAGUGGAAUUUAUCAUUAAGGCAAAAGUAGACAUUUGUUGUAUGUUAACUAAAAGCUAAAAUUUAACUAGACUGCUAGUCUUUUUAAAAUUUAAAAGAAAGUCUUCUCUGCCAUUAACAAAUACAUUCUUCACAAGGCCAAAUGAAAAAUUGCCAGAAAAGGCAUGAGAUGAAAGUCCUCAUAUGUGGAUACGGGAAAUUAAAGUCUUGUUAGGAG